AUUGAACGCUGGCGGCAGGCCUAACACAUGCAAGUCGAGCGAGCGGCGGACGGGUGAGUAAUGUCUGGGAAACUGCCUGAUGGAGGGGGAUAACUACUGGAAACGGUAGCUAAUACCGCAUACCAUCAGAUGUGCCCAUAUGGGAUUAGCUAGUAGGUGAGGUAAUGGCUCACCUAGGCGACGAUCCCUAGCUGGUCUGAGAGGAUGACCAGCCACACUGGGACUGAGACACGGUCCAGACUCCUACGGGAGGCAGCAGUGGGGAAUAUUGCACAAUGGGCGCAAGCCUGAUGCAGCCAUGCCGCGUGUAUGAAGAAGGCCCUAGGGUUGUAAAGCACUUUCAGCGGGGAGGCGGUACCCAAAGAAGAAGCACCGGCUAACUCCGUGCCAGCAGCCGCGGUAAUAG
rnacentral:rRNA from 1 species